UUUUUACUAUUAGGUUUCUUUUGUUUCCUCACUCCCUCUCUCUUUCGUCCCCUCAUCUCCCUCUCUCUAUCACUUUCUCUUUUUCCACCUCAUUUCUCCAUCUCUCUCAAUUUUUUUUGGGCUCACCGAGUAUGUAUGUGAAUCUCCCUUAAGCUCCCUCAAGCAUCUCCCUUCUCACUCUCCUUCGGGUACAACAGCAGGUUCUUUUGUUUUUCCUCUGUUAUAUUAUUUCGGUUUUCAAUAGAUUUGUGUUUUUCUUGGGCCCAAUCUCUACCUCUGUGUUCUCUUUUGCUCAUAGUUCAAUCCUGUGUACAUGCAAAUUCAGAAAAGAGAAAGAAAAAAAAAUGAAAGUGGAGAAGAGAAAAGGCGAAGAGAAAGUUGAACAAAAGAAGAAAAAACACAAGGAGAUAUUCCCUUACGACAACUACAGAAACUACUAUGGCUACCGUCUAGGUCAGGACAUAGAGGAAGAUCCUAGACUAAAGGUCAUGAAGAAAGAAUGGUUUGAAGGCAAAAAUUGUCUUGACAUCGGCUGCAACAAUGGGAUUAUAACCAUUCAGAUUGUCUUACAUGGAUUCAGAAACCAGAGGUAUAAUAGCAGUAUAUGCCAUUAGACAGCUAAGGAGAACUUCCUAAAUUAUAUUUAUUGCAAUUUGAUACUUUUUGUUGAGGGGACAAUCUUCAAACACACUUCUCAUACACCAUUUGAUUUGUCCUUUCAUAAAUAAUGUAAAAUUAGAAUAAUUUUAGAGUGACAUUAUUUGUAAGAUUCAUCAAUAGAGUAUCACAUUGAAAUAUUUAGAUUGUUAUUAGAACAUGUAGUUGGUUUGAGUUUUUUUAUGUAUUUGUUUUUAUUUUUAUUUUUAUUGAUAAUUGUUGAAAGAUUUUAUAAGCUAGCUUACAAUACAUGUUAAUGAGAAAUUUAAAUUUCUUUUA